UAUCUAAGAGGCUUGUGCAAGUUUCCUGAUGGGAGGGAUUUGUGGUAGUUAGAGCUGGGUGUUGCUCUGGUGGGUAGAGCUCAGUAAAAUUUUUAUCUGCUUGUCUGCUGAUGGGUGGGGCUGUGUUCCCUCCCUGGUGGUUAUUUGGCCUGAGGCGACCCAGCACUGGAGCCUACCCAGCUCUUUGGUGGGGCUAAUGGCAGACUCUGGGAAGGCUCAUGCCAAGGAGUACUUCCCAGAACUUCUGCUGCCAGUGUUCUUGUCCCCAAGGUGAGCCACAGCCACCCCCCGCCUCUGUAGGAGACCCUCCAACACUAGCAGAAAAUACCAUGGAGGGACUUCCCUGGUGGCACAGUGGAUAAGAAUCCACCUGCCAAUGCAGGGGACACGGGUUCGAUCCCUGGCCCGGGAAGAUCCCACAUGCCACGGAGCAACUAAGUCCGUGCGCCACAACUACUGAGCCUGCGCUGUAGAGCCACCAGCCACAAAUACUGAGACUGCAUGCCACAACUACUGAGCCUGCGAUCUAGAGCCUGUGAGCCACGAAUUCUGAGCCCGCACGCCUGGAGCCCGUGCCCCACAACAAGGGAAGCCACUGCAAUGAGAAGCCCGUGCACCGCAACGAAGAGUAGCCCUCGCUCGCCGCAACUAGAGAAAGCCCGCAGGCAGCAAUGAAGACCCAACGCAGCCAUAAAUAAAUAAUUAAAAACAAAAAACAAAAAACGAAAA